rnacentral:rRNA from 1 species
AUUGAACGCUGGCGGCAUGCCUUACACAUGCAAGUCGAACGGCAGCACGGGAGCAAUCCUGGUGGCGAGUGGCGAACGGGUGAGUAAUAUAUCGGAACGUGCCCAGUCGUGGGGGAUAACGCAGCGAAAGCUGUGCUAAUACCGCAUACGAUCUACGGAUGAAAGCGGGGGAUCGCAAGACCUCGCGCGAUUGGAGCGGCCGAUAUCAGAUUAGCUAGUUGGUGGGGUAAAGGCCUACCAAGGCGACGAUCUGUAGCUGGUCUGAGAGGACGACCAGCCACACUGGAACUGAGACACGGUCCAGACUCCUACGGGAGGCAGCAGUGGGGAAUUUUGGACAAUGGGCGCAAGCCUGAUCCAGCAAUGCCGCGUGCAGGAUGAAGGCCUUCGGGUUGUAAACUGCUUUUGUACGGAACGAAACGGCGAGCUCUAAUACAGUUUGCUAAUGACGGUACCGUAAGAAUAAGCACCGGCUAACUACGUGCCAGCCGCCGCCGUAACAC